rnacentral:rRNA from 1 species
GUGCCAGCAGCCGCGGUAAUACGUAGGAUCCUAGCGUUAUCCGGAUUUACUGGGUGUAAAGGGUGCGCAGGCGGACUUGUAAGUCAGGGGUGAAAUCUCAUCGCUUAACGGUGAAACUGCCUUUGAUACUAUAAGUCUUGAGUUUGGUAGAGAUCCGUGGAAUUCCGAGUGUAGCAGUGAAAUGUGUAGAUAUUCGGAAGAACACCAGUGGCGAAGGCAGCGGAUUGGGCCAAUACUGACGCUCAGGCACGAAAGCAUGGGGAUCAAACAGGAUUAGAUACCCUUGUAGUCC